rnacentral:lncRNA from 1 species
GAAGGCAGUUCAGUUUUUUAAAAUUAGCCCUACGACUCAUAAAAAUGAUUCUCGCAAAAGGUUCACUUCUUAAGAUGUCCAUACGCAAAAUUAUGGAAGAAAAAUACCAUGUUGAGAUGGCUGUAUUUUCUUCACAAAUAGAUAUUUCUUGUUGAUUUUUGUGGCACUUAGAAGAUGUCCCAGAUUAGAGAUAAUAGUAUCUUUUGAUUAAACAGAAGCUUUGCACUUCACUUUGAUGCACGUACUACCCUCAGAUAUGAUACUAUUAAUAGUUUUACACUCCUUCCAGCAAAGUUCAAACCAUGGUCAUUUCGCUGAUAAUCAGCCUUCAGAUAACAAACAGAUAAUAAACAGAUAUUGCUUGAUGCUUAUAUGGUAAAUAGGGUCAUACAUUUCUUGUUUUCUGUUUUGCAAGUUCGAUGGCCCAGGGCUACAAAAAAGUGCAGUGUGAAAUUGAAAAAGCAAAACUAGAGCUGAGAAUACUUCAGUCAUACUGGUGGGAAUUUGAAGUGUUAUUGAGAAAAGUAUUUACAAAUGGCUUUUUUUAAUGCAUCUCUAUAUAGUAUAGAACACUCAGCCUUGUUCUCAUAUUUUGUUCAGUUCGGAUGGUCACACACCCCUUAAAGUUAGAUAUUAGCACUGUUUAGUAAACCUUUCAUCUAGGUUUAUAGACUACAACAUUUAACCUUUCUCAUAAAAGGAGAUACUUACGUUAAUGUUAGAGGCACAAACAAGCCAGAGUCUUAGAGAACCUGGGAACCCCAAGGGUGUUGUUUAUGGGAAAGGUUUGGUCAACUCCCACACAGCACAGUUGCCACCAAUAGUCAUCUAACUAAUGUAUAAAAACUAGAAAACACAAGGAAAAAGUAAAUUACCCCAAAUCCAAUCCCCAGAAGCAAACACUUAAAGUUCUUCCAGACAUUGUCACAUAGAAAGAUAUUUCCUCCUUAAAAAAAAUUAUACUACACAUGCUCUUCUGUUGCCACUUAAAAAAGAAUUGUCCUUUCUUGUCAGUACAUAUAUCUGCAUUAUUUAAUGCAUAUGCAGUACAGGUUUUUAAUGUACCUGAAUUUAACCAACUGUUGCACAUUUGUUUCCAGUGUAACAAUUACAAUGCUGCAGUGAAGCAGUUAUCUUAAAAAUAUACAUGCAUGUGUGAUGUCCUGUAUACUAUCCCACUCUCAAAGUUAGAAAGUAUGUCCUACACCUGUCUCCCAUCACUCUGAGCACAGUGCCUAGCAUGCGGUAUAUUAGCCAAGAGGACUUAAAUCAGCAGUUCUCCACUAUGGGCAGUUUUGCCACCCUGUCCAGAUGGUGUCCAGACAGACAAAAUGUCUGGAAACAUUUUUGAUUGUCAGGACUAGAGGUGGGGCACUACUGAUAUUUUGUAUAGAGGCCAGGGAGCUGCUAAAUAUUGUACAAUAUGCAGGACAGCCCCCACAGCAUAAGCCUGUGCAAAAUGUCAACAGCACCACUAUGGAGAAACCGUGUUUAAAAUGAUGGAACAAACUACAUUCCACUGAAUUAAGACAUUGAGAUUUUCUUGCACACAACUAGGUGGCUUGCUCAAUUAGCUUUCCUCCAAAUGGGCACCUAGGGCUUCUGUCAUUCUGUGCCUUUGCUGUCUGAGAGCCAUUUGCUUUCAGAUAUUCAGACCGAAAGAAAGCUCACAAUAUCAUGCAGGAAGUUCUACGGCCUGGAAAGAGCAUCACACUUCUGCGCCCAACCACUUCCAUUAGCCAAAUCCUAGUCUUGUGACCCCCACCUAAACUGCAAGGAAGGCUGGGAAGUGUUGUCUUCUAUUUAUCUAGGAAAAGGAAAUGGGAUCUUUGGCAUCUUGCCGACUUCUGUCCCUUUUUUUUUUUUAAUUUAUUUUAAAAACUACAAAUUAAGAUUGGAGAAUGCCAACAUAACACAAAAUUGUUAGAUAAUCUCUUUAAAUACCAUGUUUGUGUAUAGCUGCUCAAUAGGUAUUUGUUGAAUCAUAAUUUUUAUUUUUAAAAGAUUUUAUUUGUUUGAGAGAGGGAGAGAGAAUAUGAGGCAGACUCCGCACUGGGCACAGACCCUGACGCGGGGCUCAAUGCACAGCCAUGAGAUCGUGACCUGAGCUGAAACCAAGCCUAACCAACUGAGCCACUUGUGCCCCAAUAGUGUGUUUUGUUUUUGUUUUUGUUUUUUUUAAGCAAUCAGGUAUUUAUUGAGGGCCUGCAAUGGACCUGCUGGUUAUCUUACAUCAUCUUCCCACCCUCAGAUCUACACUCCAUCCUUCACCUUGUUCUCUGUCCCAGGACCCUGACCUGACUGGGUUGUAUAGUCUCCCUCAUACACUGGCUUCCAGGUGAAUUUGCUGAAGAGGGAAGCCCAGCGGAGGUUGAGAUUAGGCUGUUUAUUUCCCACAUUCCACAUCAAGUUGGCUUGAGCUGGCAAAGUAACUAACCUGUCCUGCACAACCUUCUCCAACCGGGGUCUUGCCAGCUUGCCUUCCUCUCUUUCUUCUCUUUGGACCUAGGCUCCUCCAUUAUCCACACAUCCUGCCUACACCUUUGUGAGUAGUACAUUUAAAAACCAACUCGCUCAGAUGACCCUGAUUUGAGCGUGCUGCUUCAGUUGCAACCCUAGCUGGUAUUAUAGACAUGAAAACCCGAUGGGAACAGUGGGAAACGUUUUCUUUCAAAUACGAUACUAUGUCUGCCCUAAAAAAAAAAAAAAA